AAAGCUCAAAUUUAAAAUCUGGCAGGCUUUGUCUGUCCGAGUUGUAAUCUAGAGAAGUGCUAUCCGCGCUGAACCGUGUACAAGUCUCCUGGGAUGGAGCGUCACAGAGGGUGAGAAUCCCGUCUAUGACACGGACUACCUGUGCUUUGUGAUGCGCUCUCAAAGAGUCGAGUUGUUUGGGAAUGCAGCUCAAAAUGGGUGGUAAAUUCCAUCUAAAGCUAAAUAUUGGCGAGAGACCGAUAGCGAA
rnacentral:rRNA from 1 species